rnacentral:rRNA from 1 species
CAUAAACCCAGAUAUUUAACAUACAAAAAUAUCCGCCAGAGAACUACGAGCAAAACGCUUAAAACUCUAAGGACUUGGCGGUACCUUAAACCCCCCUAGAGGAGCCUGUUCUAUAAUCGAUAAUCCACGAUCUACCUCACCAUCUCUUGCCAAUACCGCCUAUAUACCGCCGUCACCAGCCUACCCUAUGAAGGAUAUAAAAGUAAGCAAAAUAGCACAACAGCUAACAAGUCAGGUCAAGGUGUAGCUUACUGAGAUGGAAGAAAUGGGCUACAUUUUCUAAACUAGAAAUCAUUUCACGGAAAGAACUAUGAAACAAGUCCUAUAAGUAGGAUUUAGCAGUAAAUAGGGAUCAGAAUGCCCAAUUUAAGCCGGUCCUAAGGUACGC